AUACUUACCUGGCAGGGGAGAUAAUAUGACAAAAGCGGUUUUCCCAGGGUGAGGCAUAGUCAUUGGAUUAUGAAUUCUGACAAUUUUCCCAAAAUGGAGGAAACUCACCUGUAUAAUUUGUGGUAUGAGGGACCAGUUACAUUCUUUCCCUU
rnacentral:snRNA from 1 species